CCUACGGGGGGCAGCAGUGAGGAAUAUUGGUCAAUGGACGAGAGUCUGAACCAGCCAAGUAGCGUGAAGGAUGACUGCCCUAUGGGUUGUAAACUUCUUUUAUAUGGGAAUAAAAUGUUCCACGUGUGGGAUUUUGUAUGUACCAUAUGACUAAGGAUCGGCUAACUCCGUGCCAGCAGCCGCGGUAAUACGGAGGAUCCGAGCGUUAUCCGGAUUUAUUGGGUUUAAAGGGAGCGUAGGUGGAUUGUUAAGUCAGUUGUGAAAGUUUGCGGCUCAACCGUAAAAUUGCAGUUGAAACUGGCAGUCUGGAGUACAGUAGAGGUGGGCGGAAUGCGUGGUGUAGCGGUGAAAUGCUUAGAUAUCACGAAGAACUCCGAUUGCGAAGGCAGCUCACUGGACUGCAACUGACACUGAGGCUCGAAAGUGUGGGUAUCAAACAGGAUUAGAUACCCCAGUAGUC
rnacentral:rRNA from 1 species